UAAACCCAUACAUUUUUCGGUUCAAUCAACAUUAAAUCGGGAAUAACUUUUAAUUUGCAUGCUGUUUAAAACCUCGAUUACAAGAUUAUUCGACCUCGAAAACACUCGUCCACGUGAUUAUACGACUAUACCAACUACGUGUCACGAAGUUUCGCGGUGGUUUUGUAGACCCAGGUGCGAUGACGUGUUUCGGAAAUGAUUUAUUUGGUAAUUCCCCGCAAGCUUGUUA